CCUACGGGGGGCAGCAGUGGGGAAUAUUGGACAAUGGGGGGAACCCUGAUCCAGCCAUGCCGCGUGUGUGAAGAAGGCCCUCGGGUUGUAAAGCACUUUCAGUGAGGAAGAACGCCUGGUGGUUAAUACCCAUCAGGAAAGACAUCACUCACAGAAGAAGCACCGGCUAACUCCGUGCCAGCAGCCGCGGUAAUACGGAGGGUGCGAGCGUUAAUCGGAAUUACUGGGCGUAAAGCGCGCGUAGGUGGCUUGAUAAGCCGGUUGUGAAAGCCCCGGGCUCAACCUGGGAACGGCAUCCGGAACUGUCAAGCUAGAGUGCAGGGGAGGAAGGUAGAAUUCCCGGUGUAGCGGUGAACUGCGUAGAGAUCGGGAGGAAUACCAGUGGCGAAGGCGGCCUUCUGGACUGACACUGACACUGAGGUGCGAAAGCGUGGGUAGCAAACAGGAUUAGAUACCCUUGUAGUC
rnacentral:rRNA from 1 species